rnacentral:rRNA from 1 species
UACGUAGGUGGCAAGCGUUGUCCGGAUUUAUUGGGUUUAAAGGGUGCGUAGGUGGCCCUGUAAGUCAGUGGUGAAAUACUCCAGCUUAACUGGAGGGGUGCCAUUGAUACUGCAGGGCUUGAGUGGAGUCGAAGUAGGCGGAAUUGACGGUGUAGCGGUGAAAUGCUUAGAUAUCGUCAAGAACACCGAUAGUGAAGACAGCUUACUAGGCUUCUACUGACGCUGAGGCACGAAAGUGUGGGGAUCAAACAGG